UAACUCUGGUUUCUCUUAAGUCUUGCCUAAAUCUUUUCCCUUUUACUAAAGAUUUCUGUGGCGAGGAACAUCAAUGAGUUUGAUGUAUUUUUGUGAGCUUUGCUCUGGCUGUGU